UACGUAGGUGGCAAGCGUUGUCCGGAUUUACUGGGCGUAAAGAGCGCGCAGGCGGUCGUUCAAGUCGCGUGUGAAAGCCCCCGGCUCAACUGGGGAGGGUCACGCGAUACUGAUCGACUCGAAGGCAGGAGAGGGUAGUGGAAUUCCCGGUGUAGUGGUGAAAUGCGUAGAUAUCGGGAGGAACACCAGUGGCGAAGGCGACUACCUGGCCUGUUUCUUGACGCUGAGGCGCGAAAAGCUAGGGGAGCAAACGGGG
rnacentral:rRNA from 1 species